GUGCUUAAGCUUGCUUUGGCAGCACACGUACUAAAAUUGGAACAAUACAGAGAAGAUUAGCAUGGCAUCUGCACAAGGAUGACAUGCAAAUUUGUGAAGAGUCCAUAUGU